UACCAGCACCCCGAGUGGUCGGGACGAUUAUUGGGCCUAAAGCAUCCGUAGCCGGUUCUGCUAGUCCUCCGUUAAAUCCAGCUGCUCAACAGAUGGGCCGCGGAGGAUACUACAGAGCUAGGAGGCAGGAGAGGCAAGCGGUACUCAGUGGGUAGGGGUAAAAUCCGUUGAUCCAUUGAAGACCACCAGUGGCGAAGGCGGCUUGCCAGAAUGCGCUCGACGGUGAGGGAUGAAAGCUGGGGGAGCAAACCGG
rnacentral:rRNA from 1 species